AUUGAACGCUGGCGGCAGGCUUAACACAUGCAAGUCGAGCGGAGAGAGGUAGCUUGCUACUAAUCUUAGCGGCGGACGGGUGAGUAAUGCUUAGGAAUCUGCCUAUUAGUGGGGGACAACAUUUCGAAAGGAAUGCUAAUACCGCAUACGUCCUACGGGAGAAGGCAGGGGAUCUUCGGACCUUGCGCUAAUAGAUGAGCCUAAGUCGGAUUAGCUAGUUGGUGGGGUAAAGGCCUACCAAGGCGACGAUCUGUAGCGGGUCUGAGAGGAUGAUCCGCCACACUGGGACUGAGACACGGCCCAGACUCCUACGGGAGGCAGCAGUGGGGAAUAUUGGACAAUGGGCGCAAGCCUGAUCCAGCCAUGCCGCGUGUGUGAAGAAGGCCUUAUGGUUGUAAAGCACUUUAAGCGAGGAGGAGGCUACUUUAGUUAAUACCUAGAGAUAGUGGACGUUACUCGCAGAAUAAGCACCGGCUAACUCUGUGCCAGCCGCCGCCGUAA
rnacentral:rRNA from 1 species